AUUGGAGGGCAAGUCUGGUGCCAGCAGCCGCGGUAAUUCCAGCUCCAAUAGCGUAUAUUAAAGUUGUUGCGGUUAAAAAGCUCGUAGUUGGAGGUCAGUUCCGGACUGGUGUGGGAGGUCACCGCCCGGUGCUUCCCCGUCAGGCUCCGAACAGCUUCCGUGAGUGGAAGCCAAGCCGGUUCUGCCGGGGUGCUCUUUACCGAGUGUCCCGCGCGGCCGGCCAGUUCACCUUGAAUAAAUGAGAGUGCUCAAAGCAGGCUACUCUGGAAUACAAUGCCCGAAUGUUACCUGCAUGGAAUGAUGGAAGAUGAUCUCGGUUCCAUUUUGUUGGUGGUGGGAGCCAGAGGUAAUGAUAAAGAGGGACUGUCGGGGGCAUCCGUACUACGACGCGAGAGGUGAAAUUCAGUGACCGUCGUAGGACGAACAACAGCGAAAGCAUUUGCCAAGAAUGUCUUCGUUGAUCAAGAACGAAAGUUAGAGGAUCGAAGGCGAUCAGAUACCGCCCUAGUUCUAACCCUAAACGAUGCUGACUAGCAAUUCGCCGUCGUUAUUCCCAUGACGUGGCGAGACGCCCCCGGGAAACCUCAAGUCUUUGAGUUCCGGGGGUAGUAUGGUUGCAAAAGUGAAACUUAAAGGAAUUGACGGAAGGGCACCACCAGGAGUGGAGCCUGCGGCUUAAUUUGACUCAACACGGGAAAGCUCACCAGGCCCUGACACCAGAAGGAUUGACAGAUUAAGAGCUCUUUCUCGAUUU
rnacentral:rRNA from 1 species